ACAUAGGGUAGAAAGCAUUGACCCCCUGGUCAUCUAGAAUUAUAGCUUAAUGAGAUUUGUUGAAAUAGAAUCUAGGAUUGAUGGAAGUCAAAAUCCGCUAAGGAGUGUGUAACAACUCACCUGCCGAAUCAACUAGCCCCUAAAAUGGAUGGCGUUGAAGCGCGCGACCCAUACCCGGCCAUCAGGGCGAUUGCCAGGCCCCGAUG
rnacentral:ncRNA from 1 species